AGCUUUGCGCAGUGGCGGUAUCGUAGCCAAUGAAGUUUACCCAAGGCGCGAUUAUUGCUAAUUGAAAACUUUUCCCAAUACCCCACCAUGAUGACUUGAAAUAUAGCUGGCUUUGGCAACUUUUGGCAGUCUCUAUGGGA
rnacentral:snRNA from 1 species